rnacentral:rRNA from 1 species
UACGGAGGGUGCAAGCGUUAUCCGGAUUUACUGGGUUUAAAGGGUGCGUAGGUGGGUUGGUAAGUCAGUGGUGAAAUACUUUCGCUUAACGAAGGAACUGCCAUUGAUACUAUCUGUCUUGAAUAUCGUGGAGGUAAGCGGAAUAUGUCAUGUAGCGGUGAAAUGCUUAGAUAUGACAUAGAACACCAAUUGCGAAGGCAGCUUACUACCCGAAUAUUGACACUGAGGCACGAAAGCGUGGAGAUCAAACAGG